AUUGAACGCUGGCGGCAUGCUUUACACAUGCAAGUCGAACGGCAGCGCGGGGGCAACCCUGGCGGCGAGUGGCGAACGGGUGAGUAAUGUAUCGGAACGUAUCCUGUAAUGGGGGAUAACCAGUCGAAAGAUUGGGUAAUACCGCAUACGCACGAGAGUGGAAAGUAGGGGAUCGCAAGACCUUACGUUAUAGGAGCGGCCGAUAUCUGAUUAGCUAGUUGGUGGGGUAAAGGCCUACCAAGGCGACGAUCAGUAGCUGGUCUGAGAGGACGACCAGCCACACUGGGACUGAGACACGGCCCAGACUCCUACGGGGGCAGCAGUGGGGGAUCUUGCACAAUGGGCGAAAGCCUGAUGCAGCGACGCCGCGUGAGCGAAGAAGGCCUUCGGGUUGUAAAGCUCUGUCUGGAGGGACGAAGGAAGUGACGGUACUCCGGAGGAAGCCACGGCUAACUACGUGCCAGCAGCCGCGGUAAGAUCACGUGUA
rnacentral:rRNA from 1 species